rnacentral:rRNA from 1 species
GCAGAACGCGAAGAACCUUACCAGGCCUUGACAUGCACUAGACCGACUCUGAAAGGAGUCUUCCCUUCGGGGCUGGUGCACAGGUGCUGCAUGGCUGUCGUCAGCUCGUGUCGUGAGAUGUUGCGUUAAGUCGCGCAACGAGCGCAACCCCUGUCCUUAGUUGCCAUCAGGUAAAGCUGGGCACUCUAGGGAGACAAACCCUCUCUGAGGGUGGGAAGGUGGGGAUGACGUCAAGUCAGGAUGGCCCUUACGGCCUGGGCUGCACACGUGCUACAAUGCCCGGUACAGAGGGACGCAAUACCGCGAGGUGGAGCAAAUACCCAAAAACCGGGCCCAGUUCAGAUUGCAGUCUGCAACUCGACUGCAUGAAGCCGGAAUCGCUAGUAAUGGCGUAUCAGCUACGACGCCGUGAAUACGUUCCCGGGUCUUGUACACACCG